GGGAUUGCCCUAGUAACGGCGAGUGAAGCGGCAACAGCUCAAAUUUGAAAUCUGGCCCUCGGGUCCGAGUUGUAAUUUGUAGAGGAUGCUUUGGGUGCGGUGCCUUCCGAGUUCCCUGGAACGGGACGCCAGAGAGGGUGAGAGCCCCGUACGGUUGGACACCUACCCUGUAGAUAGCUCCUUCGACGAGUCGAGUAGUUUGGGAAUGCUGCUCUAAAUGGGAGGUAAAUUUCUUCUAAAGCUAAAUACCGGCCAGAGACCGAUAGCGCACAAGUAGAGUGAUCGAAAGAUGAAAAGCACUUUGAAAAGAGGGUUAAAUAGCACGUGAAAUUGUUGAAAGGGAAGCGUUUGCGACCAGACCUUCUCCAGACGGAUCAUCUGGUGUUCUCACCGGUGCACUUCGUCUGGUCUAGGCCAGCAUCGGUUUCUUUAGGGGGAUAAAGGCGUAGGGAACGUAGCUCUUUCGGGAGUGUUAUAGCCCUUCGCGUAAUACCCUUCGAGGGACCGAGGACCGCGCUCUGCAAGGAUGCUGGCGUAAUGGUCGUCAACGACCCGUCUUGAAACACGGACCAAGGAGUCGAACAUUUGUGCGAGUGUUUGGGUGUUAAACCCUCACGCGUAAUGAAAGUGAACGGAGGUGAGAGCCCUUACGGGUGCAUCAUCGACCGAUCCUGAUGUCUUCGGAUGGAUUUGAGUAAGAGCAUAACUGUUCGGACCCGAAAGAUGGUGAACUAUGCGUGGAUAGGGUGAAGCCAGAGGAAACUCUGGUGGAGGCUCGCAGCGGUUCUGACGUGCAAAUCGAUCGUCAAAUCUGCGCAUGGGGGGCGAAAAGUACGUAUUAUUCUAUACCUAUGAACUUCUACAACGACA
rnacentral:rRNA from 1 species